rnacentral:rRNA from 1 species
UACAGAGGUCUCAAGCGUUGUUCGGAUUCAUUGGGCGUAAAGGGUGCGUAGGCGGCGCGGUAAGUCGGGUGUGAAAUUUCGGAGCUUAAACUCCGAAACUGCAUUCGAUACUGCGGUGCUUGAGGACUGGAGAGGAGACUGGAAUUCGAUGGUGUAGCAGUGAAAUGCGUAGAGAUCAUGAGGAAGACCAGUGGCGAAGGCGGGUCUCUGGACAGUUCCUGACACUGAGGCACGAAGGCCA